CUCACAAACCGUGAGAUCAUGACCUGAGCCGAAAUCAAGAGCUGGAUGCUUAACUGUCUGAGCCACCCAGGUACCCUAAAAAGAUACUUAAGUGUCAUGUUCCCUUGGGUGAGGUACAAGUAUAGAACCUCAUGGGAGCCCAGACCCUGCCAUAGCACUUUCGGUGUGGGGCUUGCAUUCCUCACCCCCUAUUCAUCCCCAAGUCCAUACGUAGGCCCUCAGUGGGGGCAGCAACAGUCACUGAUCGGUAGGGGUAGUGGGGUGCGGGAAGCAGGUGGCUGAGGCCUUGUCCAGGGAGGCAGGGAGGCAGGACAAUAGGUGAGCCGAGGUUCUAAGCUCUCACACAUUCUCCACCGUCCCAUCAGAUUUCAUUUACAAAACAAAUUGAAAGGUAAGAUUAUAAGAAUUUGAAGGCAAUGUCCACAGAGUGUUAGAGAGCAAGGCCCCGUUUGAGGGCAUUAGGAGCACACUCUGGAAGCUCACCUGCCCCGUGAGGGGAGGCCUUCCCCGCAUCUCAGUCUUUUCUCACAUGGAACCUUCUGUCUUAAAUCCGGUGCUCCUCCAAGGGACGCGGCUUCCCUUGAAGCUGUCUGAACAUACACUGCUUAUUCUCUCAAGUUCAUGAAGACCAGCGUGAGGGUGGGAGGCAUAACUCCUGCUCUGCAAUGCUGCCCACUUGUAAACCAUGACUCUCAGCCUAAUGUGAGUAAGCACCACAGCAAGCGCAUGGCCAAGGCCCUUCCACACUUUUCCUUUUCAUCGAUCAGGCACCCAUACACUCUCCAACUUGCAGGGAUCAUUGUAUCGUCUCCAGAGCCCAAUCUUCCUCAUCACCCCAAACCUUGCCAAACCCCCAUCUCUGCUGGAAACCCAUGCCAUAAUAGCUAUUUCACAGGCCCCUGGCCUCCACCCCACUUGUCUUCGUGUCUGCCAUGUCACUUAAUUUUGUUGUCAUAUCUCAGUCUUGCCAUAAUCAGGGGCCACAAGACCAGUAAAAUCUUAAAUGUUCCUUGUCUAUGGCAACUCUCUUCUCUUAUUUUGUUCUCUAGCCCUGAAGAGCUGCUCUUCAAGAGAAGCACAACUUUUUAGGGACGAGCAAGAGAAUGGCUUCUUGCGAUGGAGUAGAGAGCAGGUUUUGAUUUGGGCUGCAGGGUUUUAAAUUGUCCCAUAUCAAAUUGUCUCGUGUUUCAUGUUUUAGUACUUCUGUAGUUGAUGUCUUGUGCUUUUGAUAGUGUUAUCACAUUUCCAACUGUUUUAUACAUACACACGCAGACACACACACACACACAAUUUCCAUUCUAGAAACUGGAGGAAAGAAAACACACUUUCUUCUCCACACUCCAUCCUGCCAGCUCUCUCCAUGGAGGCCCACCACACAUUUUUCUUAGAUUUCACUGAGACUCUCAGACCCACUAACACUCAUUUUUCUUUCACUCUGCCAAAUCCUUCCUGGCUUCAUUUUAAUUAGUAAUAUGUCUAAAUUUCACCAUCUAUCACUUGACCUGCUUUCUUGAAAAUAUCCUCAAAUCCUUUGUUGUUGUUGUUGUUGUUGUUGUUGUUGUUGUUGUUGGUUGCAUCAGCCCAGAAAACCAGGAACUCAGGGUCACUAACAAUGAUUAAAAAUAGUACUAAACAUUCCAUGCUUCAUAUGUCUCACCUUGGUUUUAUCUAAUUUACUCUUCGCAGUGAUCUUAUGAGGUGGCUAUAAUUAUCCUCAAUUUACAGAGAAGGAAACUGAGGACUGGCAAGACUCAGGUGACCUGUUCACAUUAUUUCUGAAGUUAGAAUGUGUGCUUCCCAAACUUGAAGUACAGCCCAAUAAACCUCCUGCAAGCAAAUUUCCAUCUCAGAAGUUCUUUCCUUGGGAACCCAAUCUAUGCCCACCACCAACAAAAAUCAUGUCAAACAGUAGGCGCUUCAACAAAUAUCAUUUCAAUAACUAGGUGAGAAUAUGAAGAAGGAAAUAAAUGAAGACACUUACCUUCAUCAUCCCUGGGACAAUAUACAUGAGAGUAAAGAUGGGGAACGCAAAAACAGUCAUUAUGGACACAGGUUAAAUAGACUAAAUAGAACUAUAGUCACAGACUGCUUGAUCAGAAAAAUAGUGGAAUAUACCAAUCUGCUCAGACAUGAAGUAUGUUACGAAGAAUGGUGGCUUCAGCAAACAUUUGCUACAGACAAGGGACUACUUUAAUGUACGCCUAUUGUGAAAAUGAUUAUAAAGGAUGGUUCUUUCAAGCAGUCCUCUGUUAUUGCAUAUACACAAUCAGAUUAUAAACAUUUUCUGUAAGGCCAUGUUUGAAACAACUCUGUGGAUGUGAAGUUAUAAAAUAACAACAGUGUUCAGUUUGAUUCUUUUGGGACGUGACUCAAUAUGCAGUUUCAGAAACACAAACUGAACUUCUCAUUAUUACUCAGUGGGCGUGAUCUUAAAGCCCGCCGUCGGCCUAUCGGUUGAACUCUCUAAACCGAUAAAAGGGUGCUGCAUUACUGAAGACACAGCACAGGCAAGAAAAACUUUCAGAGCUUCAAGCCAUGAAAAUUACAUUUCACUUCUGCCCUUUUAAAAAUGUGUAUGAGAUCCAGCCAUAGACCGUCUCACAGCAGAGUCAACAUGCCUUUCCAGGCUUUACUACCAAGCAAGGGUUUUAUAAUGCAGGCAAAUUAUAAUGCAGAUAUGUAUUAAAACUGUUGAAUGAGGACAAUUUGUACCUUGUACUUUCCAAGAAUUUUUCCAAGAGACUUUUGUUCUUUUUUGUUACAGAUCUAGGCAAAAUUAAAUAAAAGUUGAUAGCUUGAGGAAACAAACUUUACAAAAGGCAAGCUAAUUAAAAUAUUGCUGAACACUGAAGAAAUUUUGACAGAUGUCUUAUUUCGGCAUUAAUUCACAACUUCAGACCUUAACGAAAAUUCUACUCCGUCUUUUGUUCUUGCCGAUAUCCAAACCCUCUCACCCUCUGCCUUGUGUAAAAGUGUUUCCAGGCAACCCCAUCAUAACUAUUGCUUUUGUCUCAUACCCUUUGUCCACCUCAAUUCUUUUGUCAUUUCUGUUACAUAGAUAGGCAACUCCAACUAUACCUUUGCUACUUACGGAACCUAUCUGGCAUUGAUUCAUCCUAUCUAAUCCUAUUCUCUCGCAUUCAUAAUGGGUAAAAACAUAAAAAUACAUAAAUAAAUCUCUCUUCCCCCACAACUAUUUUUGAGGCCCUUUCCUUUAUCACCUUUAUCUGUCUUGCAGAUAAAUAAACACUCCUAUUCUCCCCUGCCUUUAUUUUUUCUCUAAUGCCAAACUAGAAGUUAUGGCAGGGGUCAGCCUCCUCUGUACUUCAUACUGCUACUUCUUUUUAAAUUUUUUAACAUUUAUUUAUUUUU